AGGAUUGCUAUGAAAGUUUGAGACAUAUGGUCAAAUCAGUGUCAAAUAAAAUCAAACCAACAGAAAUGGACACUGUGGAGCAAAGUGACAUUGUUAUUUGUACAUCCAAACCGACACAAGCUGACAUUGAUGCAGCCCUAAUGAAUAUUCCAGAUCAAAAGCGUUGUAUUCUGGUGGUGAUACAUUUCACACCUCCAGAAACUGAAGAAAAUAGCAGCAGCUUUGCCACAAAGAAGCCCAAAGUCUCUGUUGUACAGUGUGCUAUGGAUGAGGAGGGAGGUUUUCAAUUUUGUACAUUUAAUGAUAAAGCUCUCAAAGAACUAGACAUAAUCAUGUCAAAUGUCUGAUUGAAGUGAAAGACUCAGAAGCAAACCUGUCUCCUCAUUCUGAACUUGUAGAAGUCAAGUCCUCCUAGUUUUAGCAGGAAUAAUAUCCUUGAAGUAAUACAGUGCAUGGUUUUAGCUGACCUACCUAAUUGGGACACGACGUGGGACUCUAGGGAAAUGACCUUACUGUGCUUGAUUAUCUGUGAAGUCACCUCACCACUGAUCCCAAUUUAAAAAAAACUCAUUACUAUAGGAGUGACAAAACCGCUAUCUGACUGCAAAAACUAACAUAUGCUUUGCAAUUAGUUGUUUGUAAUGAGGAGAAACCAUGUGUACAACUAAGUAAAUGUGUGAACAUUUUAUCACAUUCUAACUUUUUCAAACAUGUUAGGCAAUUUUAUUCAAGCUGCAUGUGAAGCUAAUACUGAAUUGCAUAAUGUGCUUACUGAGAUUGCUGGACGUGUUAUUUUCCUAUUGUGUUAAAGCAUCUUUUUAAGAUUAGAUUAAUUUAGUUUAAUUAAUUAAGUAUAAGUAUACUUUUUUGGUCACAGCAUUUAUCCCAAUUUGUGAAUUAGUGAACACACACACAGCACACAUCUUUGCUAUAUAAACUCUGCUUUGCUACAAUAAUCUCGCUAUUCGCUGAACAUUCUUGGCUCUGUUGACUCUCCUUCAGCAACUUUAAAGCUUUGAAUUUGUGUGUGUGUGUGUGUGUGUGUGUGUGUGUGUGUGUGUGUGUGUGUGUGUGUGUGUGUG